AACGUAGGGGGCAAGCGUUAUCCGGAUUCACUGGGCGUAAAGGGAGCGCAGGCGGCACGGCAAGUCUGGUGUGAAAACCCGGGGCUCAACCCCGGGACUGCAUUGGAAACUGCCGGGCUGGAGUGUCGGAGGGGUAAGCGGAAUUCCUAGUGUAGCGGUGAAAUGCGUAGAUAUUAGGAGGAACACCAGUGGCGAAGGCGGCUUACUGGACGAUGACUGACGCUGAGGCUCGAAAGCGUGGGGAGCAAACAGG
rnacentral:rRNA from 1 species